UUUGUUAUUAUGGCAAUUUUGUAAUUUAUGUGAAAGGCCAAGGUUAUUUAUGUCAUUUAGGCAUUUAGGUUUACUUUUAGUUGCUUUUACUUUUAGUCUUUACUGAUUCCUCUCCUCUUCCCCGUGAAUUGCCUUCUCCUUUGCGCCGUGCAGCUGCAGCCCGUCCUCCUGGAGUCCAUCUGCAUCAUCUCCAAUUCUCCAUUACAGUACACUUGCUGGUUUGCUUAUCCCAUUUUACUUGCUGAUUUGCUAUUGUUUUGGUUGGCCAUUCGGAUUUGAUGAUGAAGGAGCAUAAAAAAGGGAAGAGAUGCUUUAAAUCCAAUCAAUCUUGAAAAUAUUGACUUGAUGGAAGAAUGGGUGAGUGAAGAAUCUGAGCUUCUUGAUGGAGAAGAUUUGAAUUGGGCAAGUAUUGAGGAGCCAUUAAUCUCACUAAAUGAGGAAAACGUUGAUAAUGUUGGUGUUGAUGUUGAUGAUGGUGGUGACAUUGAUGAAAAUAUUUUGAUUAACAUGUCGAAUCUUGAUCCUUAUUGUCUUUUUGAUGAGGAUGAGUGAUUUUAUUUUAAUAGUUGGAUUAAGAACUUAUUUAGUUUGUAACUUAAAACUUAAGACUUGUAUUGAGAAGUAUUGAGUUUAUGACUUAUUUUGUUAUUAUUUUGGAAUA